rnacentral:tRNA from 1 species
GGAGGUGUAGCUCAGUGGUAGAGCUCUUGCCUGGCAUGUGUGAAGCACUGUGUUCAAUCCUCAGCAUCACAU